AGAGAGAGACUUUAUUUAUUUUUCACAGCUACUCCUUUUGCUCUCACCUCUUUGUGGUGCAGACACGUAGGGCCCUACUCUGAGCAGACCUGGAGACUCACCACCUUACUAUGAACUAACUGCCCUUGCCUGGCUGGGCUGGCCAGAGAUCCCCAGAACUCACCACUUGUUUUCCAGUGGGGAGUUUGUCCCCUCUGAUCACAACUUCUCCACCCCCCACCCCCAUCACUCUACUUCCCGUUUCUGUGAGAUGAACUUUGCUGCUGUUGUUGUUGUUAGGUUCCACAUGAGAAGGCAACCACGUGAUGUUUGUCCUCCUGAGCCUGGUUCAUUUCACUUAGCUUCACGCCCUCCAGGUUUCUCCGUGCUGGCAUUGAGCGAGUGAGCACUGGGCUUUCCUGCUCUUGACUGUCUGGAGAGAGAAUGUUUCAUCCUGAGGACCCAGCUCGAGGCCGGCCUUCACCAGACCAGAGGAAGCUUCAGUGCUGUGAAACCUUUCCCUCUAUCCUCCUGUCUCUCUCUGACUAUCUGAAAAAAUCAACCUGGAUCAAUGAAGCCCCGGUGUCAACAAGAACAAAAAGAGACAACAAGAAAACAAAUAACCCCAUCCAAAAUGGGGAGAGGACAUGGACAGAAUAUUUACCACAGAAGAGAUCCAAAAGGCCGAGAAACACAUGAAAAAAUGCUCCAAGUCUUUGAUUGUCAGAGAAAUGCAAAUAAAGGCAACAAUGAGAUACCACUUCACUCCUGUGAGAAUGUCAUACAUCAGAAAAGAUAGCAGCAGCAAAUGCUGGAGAGGUUAUGGGGUCAAAGGCACCUUCCUGCACUGCUGGUGGGAAUGUCAAUUGGUCCAACCUCUGUGGAGAACAGUCUGGAGAACUUUCAGAAGGCUGGAAAUGGACCUACUCUAUGAUCCUGCAAUUCCUUUCCUGGGGAUAUAUCCUAAGGAACCCGACACACCCAUCCCAAAAGAUCUGUGUACACAUAUGUUCUUAGCAGCACAAUUUGUCAUAGCCAAAACCUGGAAGCAGCCCAGGUGUACAACAACAGAUGAGUGGCUAAGCAAGUUGUGGCAUAUAUACACAAUGGAAUACUACUCAGCUAUAAAAAGUGGUGACUUCACCGUUUUCAGCCAAUCUUGGAUGGACCUUGAAAAAUUCAUGUUAAGUGAAAUAAGUCAGAAACAGAAGGAUGACUAUGGGAUGAUGUCACUCUCAGGUAGAAGUUGAAAAACAAGAUCAGAAAAGAAAACACAAGUAGAACCUGAUCUGGAAUUGGCCUAUUGCACCAAAGUAAAAGACUCUUGGGGUGGGUGGGGGCAGGGAGAAUACAGGUCCAAGAAGGAUGACAGAGGACCUAGUGGGGGUUGUAUCGUUAUAUGGAAAACUGGGAAAGGUUAUGCAUUUACAAACUAUUGUAUUUACUGUCGAAUAUAAAACAUUAACUCCCCAAUAAAGAAAUUUAAAAAAGAACAAAAAGAGAGGGAGAGAAAGAGAGGUGGGGGCAGAGGGAGGGGAAGGGGAAGAGGGGGGGAGGGAAGGAAAUUGGGCACAAGGGGUCUGUUGGCAACAGCUAUGCAUGGUCCAGAAGGUACUAGACCAGCAAUUUAAAAAUUCAGGGAUUGGGAGCUUUAGAAUAAACGGUUCGUGUUACUAAACAGUGUGGUCAAGCAGGACAGGUUCGUGGUUUGCAUCAAGUUCUCAGGUCAAAGUGGUUGCUGAGGUCUGAGGACCUCAAGCUCCCGCAGGCCUGACCCUCCCCCAGUUUCCUUAGCCCCCUCCCAGCCCUUGCCUUUGCCCAUGUGAUUCCUCUCCAUUUUCAAGGCCCACUCAGUGCCACUUCUCCCGGCACUCCAUCCCCACAAACCCAAACAAAACCUCCUCUUUGCUUGCACAGCCCUGCACAGGCUCAUAGGACUUGGGACGGGCUGCUGUGGCUGCUGUCACUUGAUCGUCCAUUAGCACGAGUGUCUGGAGAUUGGAGCCUGCGUCUGUGUUACCUCCAGUGCGAUGCCAGGAACAUAGUGGGCUCUUUGUAAAAGCCUGUGGAAUAAAAGAAAGAGUGGGUGAAUCAACACAAGCACAAAGGCUUAACAGACUCUUCUUCUUUUUCUGCAAUUAAAAAAAAACUUUAUAAAGUUCA